rnacentral:rRNA from 1 species
UGGGGAAUCUUGCACAAUGGGGGCAACCCUGAUGCAGCGACGCCGCGUGAGCGAUGAAGCCCUUCGGGGCGUAAAGCUCUUUCGACCGGAACGAUAAUGACGGUACCGGGAGAAGAAGCUGCGGCUAACUACGUGCCAGCAGCCGCGGUAGUACGUAGGACCCAAGCGUUGUCCGGAUCUACUGGGUGUAAAGGGUGCGCAGGCGGAUGGGUAAGUCAGGGGUGAAAGUCUGCAGCUUAACUGUAGAAUUGCCUUUGAUACUGCUCAUCUUGAGUGUGGGAGAGGUUGAUGGAAUUCCAGGUGUAGCAGUGAAAUGCGUAGAUAUCUGGAAGAACACCAGUGGCGAAGGCGGUCAACUGGCCCAUAACUGACGCUCAUGCACGAAAGCGUGGGGAGCAAACA